rnacentral:tRNA from 1 species
UGCCGGCGUGGCGGAAUGGCAGACGCAUCAGACUCAAAAUCUGACGGGGGCAACCUCGUGCCGGUUCAAGUCCGGCCGCCGGCAU